rnacentral:rRNA from 1 species
AUUGAACGCUGGCGGCAUGCUUUACACAUGCAAGUCGAGCGGCAGCGCGGGGGCAACCCUGGCGGCGAGCGGCGAACGGGUGAGUAAUGCAUCGGAACGUAUCCUCGAGUGGGGGAUAACCCAGCGAAAGUUGGGCUAAUACCGCAUGAGCUCUGAGGAGGAAAGCGGGGGACCUGCGAGGGCCUCGCGCUGGAGGAGCGGCCGAUGUCCGAUUAGCUAGUUGGUGGGGUAAAGGCUUACCAAGGCGACGAUCGGUAGCUGGUCUGAGAGGAUGAUCAGCCACACUGGGACUGAGACACGGCCCAGACUCCUACGGGAGGCAGCAGUGGGGAAUUUUGGACAAUGGGGGCAACCCUGAUCCAGCCAUGCCGCGUGAGUGAAGAAGGCCUUCGGGUUGUAAAGCUCUUUCGGACGGAACGAAAUGGGUGGGACUAAUACUCCUGUCUGAUGACGGUACCGUAAGAAGAAGCACCGGCUAACUACGUG